GCUUCAUUGACAGGCGGAUCCGUUGCCUUCUGGGCGGCGCUUGGAACCGGAUUGUUCAACUCGAUCAUGUGGUC
rnacentral:tRNA from 1 species